rnacentral:rRNA from 1 species
GACUGUUUACCAAAAAACAUAAUUUUAUAAAUUAUAUAAAAUGGGACCUGGUCAGUGAUAAAAAAGAAUUCAUAAAUUUUUAUUAAACACAAGCCUUAGCUUGAGGGUGAUAAUGUAGCAUAAUCAAUUGGCAUUUAAUUGAUGUCUAGUAUGAAAGGUGAAACAAUUUUUAUAUUGUCUUUAUUUUUAAAUCUAAAAAAUUAUAAACUCUAGUUAAGAUACUAGAGUUAAUUUAUAAGACGAAAAGACCCCAUUAAUCUUUACUAUAAUUAUAAUUAAAAUAAUUAUAUAAUGAUUAUAUAAUUUAUUAUAAAAAUAGUUUAGCUGGGGCGGCUAAUCACUAAAUUUAAAGCGUGAUUAAUAAUAAAUUAAUUAUAAAAAUUUAUAAAUUAAUAUUUAAUUAUUAAUUUAAUAAAUUAAUUUUUCAAAAAAAGAAUUUAUACAGACCUUAAUGUAAUUACAUUUUACUUUAAAUUAAUAAAUAAAAGAUACUAUGGGGAUAACAGUGUUAUCUAAAGAGAAAGUAUGAAAUUAAUCUUUGGGUUUGCCACCUCGAUGUUGUAUCAAAUUAUCCUUAUUUAAUUAAAGGUGUAGAAACUAAAAAGGGUUGGAUUGUUCAUCCAUUAAAAACUUACAUGAUUUGAGUUCAUUCCAUGACA